UUAGCAUGGGAUAACAUCAUA
rnacentral:siRNA from 1 species